UGAUGACGAGACGCUAAGGCGUUGAAGCAGUGUAUGUCAGACUUCCAAGAAAAGCUCGCAAUGUCACAAAUAAAAAGUGCCUGUACCAUAACCGACACAGGUGGGUAGGUAGAGUAUACUAAGGGGCGCGAGAUAACUCUCUCUAAGGAACUCGGCAAAAUGACUCCGUAACUUCGGGAGAAGGAGUGCCUUAUUUAUAAGGUUGCAAUAACAAGAUCCAAGCAACUGUUUAUCAAAAACACAGGUCUCCGCUAAGUCGUAAGACGAUGUAUGGGGGCUGACGCCUGCCCAGUGCCAGAAGGUUAAAGAAGUUGGUUAGUGUAUGCGAAGCUGAUGACUGAAGCCCUGGUGAACGGCGGCCGUAACUAUAACGGUCCUAAGGUAGCGAAAUUCCUUGUCGGGUAAGUUCCGACCCGCACGAAAGGCGUAAUGAUUUGGAUACUGUCUCGGAGAGAGGCUCGGUGAAAUAGACUUGUCUGUGAAGAUGCGGACUACCUGCACCAGGACAGAAAGACCCUAUGAAGCUUUACUGUAACUUGAAAUUGGAAUUGGACUUUGCUUGCGCAGUAUAGGUGGGAAGCGUUGAAAAUAUUCUUGCGGGAGUAUUGGAGCUAUCAGUGAGAUACCACUCUUGUAAUGUUAGAUUUCUAACUUUGAACCAUAAUCUGGUCAAAGAACAGUUUCAGGCGGGCAGUUUGACUGGGGCGGUCGCCUCCCAAAUGGUAACGGAGGCGUACAAAGGUUUCCUCUGAACGGAUAGAAAUCGUAUCUAGAGUGUAAAGGCAUAAGGAAGCUUGACUGUGAGACCUACAAGUCGAGCAGGGACGAAAGUCGGUCUUAGUGAUCUGACGGUACUGAGUGGAAAGGCCGUCACUCAACGGAUAAAAGUUACUCUAAGGAUAACAGGCUGAUCUCCCCCAAGAGUUCACAUCGACGGGGAGGUUUGGCACCUCGAUGUCGGCUCAUCGCAUCCUGGGGCGGUAGUACGUCCCAAGGGUUGGGCUGUUCGCCCAUGAAAGCGGUACGCGAGCUGGGUUCAGAACGUCGUGAGACAGUUCGGUCCAUAUCCGGUGUAGGCGCUAGAAUAUUGAGAGGAGCCUUCUUUAGUACGAGAGGACCGAGAAGGACACACCGCUGGUGUACCAGUUAUCGUGCCAACGGUAAACGCUGGGUAGCUAUGUGUGGAGUGGAUAACCGCUGAAAGCAUCUAAGUGGGAAGCCCACCUCGGGAUGAGUAUUCUC
rnacentral:rRNA from 1 species